AUUGAACGCUGGCGGCAUGCUUUACACAUGCAAGUCGAACGGCAGCGCGGGCUUCGGCCUGGCGGCGAGUGGCGAACGGGUGAGUAAUACAUCGGAACGUGCCCAGCAGUGGGGGAUAGCUCGGCGAAAGCCGGAUUAAUACCGCAUACGACCUGAGGGUGAAAGCGGGGGAUCUUCGGACCUCGCGCUAUUGGAGCGGCCGAUGGCGGAUUAGCUAGUUGGUGGGGUAAAGGCCUACCAAGGCGACGAUCUGUAGCUGGUCUGAGAGGACGACCAGCCACACUGGGACUGGGACACGGCCCAGACUCCUACGGGAGGCAGCAGUGGGGAAUUUUGGACAAUGGGCGAAAGCCUGAUCCAGCAAUGCCGCGUGUGUGAUGAAGGCCUUCGGGUUGUAAAGCACUUUUGGCGGGAACGAAAAGGACUGUGCCAAUACCACGGUUCGAUGACGGUACCCGCAGAAUAAGCACCGGCUAACUACGUG
rnacentral:rRNA from 1 species